ACGGCCCAGACUCCUACGGGAGGCAGCAGUGGGGAAUUUUCCGCAAUGGGCGAAAGCCUGACGGAGCAAGACCGCGUGAGGGAGGAAGGCUCUUGGGUUGUAAACCUCUUUUCUCAGGGAAGAAGCUCUGACGGUACCUGAGGAAUCAGCCUCGGCUAACUCCGUGCCAGCAGCCGCGGUAAUACGGAGGAGGCAAGCGUAAUCCGGAAUUAUUGGGCGUAAAGCGUCCGCAGGUGGCGAUUCAAGUCUGCUGUCAAAGCACGGGGCUUAACUCCGUUAAGGCAGUGGAAACUGAAUAGCUAGAGUGCCGUAGGGGUAGAGGGAAUUCCCGGUGUAGCGGUGAAAUGCGUAGAGAUCGGGAAGAACAUCGGUGGCGAAAGCGCUCUACUGGACGGCAACUGACACUCAGGGACGAAAGCUAGGGGAGCGAAUGGGAUUAGAUACCCAGUAGUCCUAGCUGUAAACGAUGGAUACUAGGUGUAGCUUGUAUCGACCCGAGCUGUGCCGAAGCUAACGCGUUAAGUAUCCCGCCUGGGGAGUACGCACGCAAGUGUGAAACUCAAAGGAAUUGACGGGGGCCCGCACAAGCGGUGGAGUAUUUGGUGUAAUUCGAUGCAACGCGAAGAACCUUACCAGGGCCUGACAUGUCCGGUAUCCCGGUGAAAGCUGGGAGUGCCUUCGGGAGCCGGAACACAGGUGGUGCAUGGCUGUCGUCAGCUCGUGUCGUGAGAUGUUGGGUUAAGUCCCGCAACGAGCGCUACCCUCGUCUCUAGUUGCCAGCAUUAAGUUGGGCACUCUAGAGAGACUGCCGGUGUCGAACCGGAGGAAGGUGGGGAUGACGUCAAGUCAGCAUGCCCCUUACGCUCUGGGCUACACACGUACUACAAUGGUCGGGACAGAGGGCAGCGAACCUGCGAAGGCAAGCUAAUCCCAGCAAACUCGGCCUCAGUUCAGAUCGCAGGCUGCAACUCGCCUGCGUGAAGGAGGAAUCGCUAGUAAUCGCCGGUCAGUAUACGGCGGCGAAUCCGUUCCCGGGCAUUGUACACACCGCCCGUCACACCAUGGAAGCUGGCUACGCCCGAAGUCGUUACCCUAACCUUUCGG
rnacentral:rRNA from 1 species